rnacentral:rRNA from 1 species
AUUGAACGCUGGCGGCAUGCCUUACACAUGCAAGUCGAACGGUAACAGCACUUCGGUGGCUGACGAGUGGCGAACGGGUGAGUAAUACAUCGGAACGUGCCCGAGAGUGGGGGAUAACGCAGCGAAAGCUGUGCUAAUACCGCAUACGAUCUACGGAUGAAAGCAGGGGACCGCAAGGCCUUGCGCUCACGGAGCGGCCGAUGGCAGAUUAGGUAGUUGGUGGGAUAAAAGCUUACCAAGCCGACGAUCUGUAGCUGGUCUGAGAGGACGACCAGCCACACUGGGACUGAGACACGGCCCAGACUCCUACGGGAGGCAGCAGUGGGGAAUUUUGGACAAUGGGCGAAAGCCUGAUCCAGCCAUGCCGCGUGAGUGAAGAAGGCCUUCGGGUUGUAAAGCUCUUUCGGCGGGGAAGAAAUCGCAUUCUCUAAUACAGAGUGUGGAUGACGGUACCCGAAUAAGAAGCACCGGCUAACUACGUGCCAGCAGCCGCGGUAAUACGUAGGGUGCGAGCGUUAAUCGGAAUUACUGGGCGUAAAGCGUGCGCAGGCGGUUUUGUAAGUCAGAUGUGAAAUCCCCGGGCUCAACCUGGGAACUGCAUUUGAGACUGCAAAGCUAGAGUGUGGCAGAGGGGGGUGGAAUUCCACGUGUAGCAGUGAAAUGCGUAGAGAUGUGGAGGAACACCGAUGGCGAAGGCAGCCCCCUGGGCCAAUACUGACGCUCAUGCACGAAAGCGUGGGGAGCAAACAGGAUUAGAUACCCUGGUAGUCCACGCCCUAAACGAUGCCAACUAGGUGUUGGAAGGGUUAAACCUUUUAGUGCCGUAGCUAACGCGUGAAGUUGACCGCCUGGGGAGUACGGCCGCAAGGCUAAAACUCAAAGGAAUUGACGGGGACCCGCACAAGCGGUGGAUGAUGUGGAUUAAUUCGAUGCAACGCGAAAAACCUUACCUACCCUUGACAUGUCAGGAAUCCCGGAGAGAUUUGGGAGUGCUCGAAAGAGAGCCUGAACACAGGUGCUGCAUGGCUGUCGUCAGCUCGUGUCGUGAGGUGUUGG